GGCUGAGGUGUUAAACAACUAGUGUGACAGGGCUAGUUCCAAUGAUUCCAAUACAUACUGUCUCCUAAGUCUACAAUCAUAACUAAACCAUUUCAGUCAGAGGGAAAUAGGGAAUAUAGUGGCAAGGAAGCAAAUCACAUAGCAAGAGGGUGACAGAGGUUAAAUCACUACAUCAACAGAGAGUGGUGUAGUAAAGGGAGGAAGGGCUGGGAAAACUGCAUGAGGGUGGAUUACAGAGAGCUCUGAAUGCCAUUCUUGGUAGGAUAAAAUGUGAGAACUGAACCCCAACUGAGAAGGUGCCAAUUAAUUCAGGUGGCACUGACCUGUGAGGCUGAGGAGGUCUUAAUCACCAGAACACUAAAUGCUCAUUAUCCAACCUUUUAAUUAGCAAAGAAACUACCCUGUCUGGAAAAGUUUUCAGCAAAGAACUAAGAUUUGAUCAUGCUGUUAAAGAAAAAAAAAGAAAAGAAAAAAACAAUCCUCUGAUCUCUCCCAGGCAACAAAUCUUGUAUUUCAGAUGUAUGUUUUCAUAUCUUCCAGGUCCCAAUUGGAGAGAAAAUGAGGAAAAGGAGGAACAGAUGGGACUAAAAGCAGAAGGCACCUGAUGAAAGAGAAAAAGCAAGGCUGGGGGAAGGGUGUUUAGAGAAGGACUGGGAGAACAAAAGCAAAGAAUCUGAAAUGAGAGCAUGCUUUCUUCCGUUCCCAUGAACUUCAGAAUGAGCCACAUCUUUACUCAAAGCCUCCUCUGCUAUUUAUAUGUGUGACCUUAGAGGAGUCUCAGCAGUGCCUGACAUAUAGUAAGUGCUCAAGAGAAAUUUUAUGAAUGAGCUAAUGAAUCUGCCUUUGCAAGAUAUGGAAACUGGGGUUCAGACAAGUUAUGCAUCUUGGCCAUGUCACACAAAUGGACCUACCAACUUCAUGACAUUGUUAUGCUCACUCCUGCCUCAGGCUUUGGGCCUUGAAAAUCUCUCCUCCUGCAGGUCUGCUGAUGGAUCUUCGCAGAGCUGGCUCCUUCCCAUAGCUUCAGAAGAGCCUUCUGGGGUCACCUCCUUUAAAAUUGCCCCUUCCACUCCCAUUACCCUAUUUAACAUUCUCCAUGACACUUACUACUCUCUGAAAUUACCUUAUUUUCUUAUCUCCCUUAUUAGAAUGUAAGUACUAGAGAAAUCAGACCAAUGAGACUAUUUCUUUCUCAUUCACAGCCUGCCUAGAGCAGCACAAACAAUGCAAAAACAAACCAAAAAAUGAAUAAGCGUGUGUAUGUAGGUCUCUUAGUACCAUGCUUGGCCCAUAACAAGUGCUUACUAGCUACUAGUUACUAAUUUUUUAGUAGUAGAGAUUUAAUAGGAAAGAUUAUAGGAAAAGAAACUCAAAACAAGGGAAUAGUGUGAAUUAAAGACUAGCUUUUCUUAAACUAUGUUGCCAAGGUAGUUUUACCCACAAGUCUGUGUCCUGGGCAAAAAUAGUGGAAAUUGGCUUCAGCGCAAUCACAAGACUUCUGGAGGAGUCUUUCACUCCGUAUGGAUCAAAAAUGGUGUGUUUCAACCAAGAGUAUGGCUUUGGACAUCUUCUCGUACAAUUCACAUAUUUGUCAGUCAUAUAAACAUUUCAAUUUCAAGAAUAGCAUCUAAUGUGCAAUUUAAUUUGGCCUCCAUUUUGUAACUCUCGGAGCUGCAAAUGUAGUUAUUUUCACUUGCAGCAAAUGGUUUGGUUGAAUAGUGCAUGGCUAUCCAGGACUGGCAGAAAGCAAAACACCAAUCGAUAAGAGCAAUAAAACUGGAAAUCCACAAGAUGUGUGGCCUGAAACAUGUAUAAUUUUUAAUUCAUAAUUUACUUAAAUGAUUGAUUCUCCCAAAAGAAAGAACUGAAAUAAGUGAUAAAUUGAAGUCUUACUGUGCAGAAAAAUGAAUACAGUGUUGAUAUGUCUUUAAGAUUUCUCCACAACCAACAGAGAAGAGAAGGUAACUUCUGGACCCUGAAGUAAAUCUUAUUUUUAUUUGGGGAAUUAUUUGGACAUAGCUGCUAUUGCCAAAAAAAGAUUAAUCCAUACUAUGCCCACCUCCCACAGGCUCUACAACCAUUCCAAAGAAAAACAGGUGAGGAGCUAAAUGAUGUUGCAAAAAUCAGUGAAUUUGGAAUAAAAAACAUCUGUAUUCAAAUAUUGACUCUGUGGUAGGUAAGACUAGAGGAUCAGACAGGAGGGCAAAUAUGUUGAAUCUUUACUUAAAGGCCAACUCCCUUGCUGCCUACUUUUUUUUUUUUAAGAGACAGAUUUUGCUGUUUCCCAAGCUGGAGUGCAGUGGCUAUUCACAAAUGCAAUCAUAGCACACUACAGCCUUGAAAUCCUGGGACCAAUCAGUCCUCCUUCCUCAGCCUCCUGAAUAGCUGGGACUACACCUACCUAUUUUUGUGCUCUACACUUAUCUAUUUCCCUUAAGAGCAUUUAUGCAUAUUUACAACUUCUGAUAUUUCUUCUUUUUUCUCAGAUUAUAUGAACCUCUGGACUCUGGAGUAAGCAUGCAUUUUGAGGUCCUGUGGUAAAGGCCUUGGUCAUGUCUGCAUAAAAGUCAGCAUGGGAUAUCCUCAAAGCUGCAAGGCUCCACCUAUGUAGACACUACUGGGAGCAGGAUGCCUGGGAGACGAAGCAGGGCAGCAUAAAUUUUUGUAGCAGAGGCAGCAUCUACAGGGGGUGUCUUUGUGUCUCGGAGGAUUGUUGCAAAAGAGUUCAUAAAUGUGCAGUUCCCUAUCUUCCCCAACCCUUCAAAGAUGGGAAAGAACUUCAUUUAGAUGUUCCAUCCUACCCCGUUUUUUUACUGAUCUGGGCAAUACCAGGUCCCCUUAACACACACACACACACACACACACACACACACACACACACACACACACACACACUUCCUGCAAUAUAUUGUGCUGAAAAUCAGCCUUGCUGUCACAGUUCCAUUAUCAGGAGAGUUUGGAGUAAUGCCCAGCCUAGUCUAUAAUGAAAAAUUGUGGCUCAGUGUCCUGAUUAAAACCAUAUCAUCCUUUCUUGUCUAUAGCUCCGUUCUUAAUUUCAGUCUAGCCCAAGACGCUAUCUAAGGUGGCUUGGAAUGCAGGCCCACAUGUUCCUUUCUGCUGUGAGUACAAGCAGAACAGGCAGAGCUGGGAUUCAAAUUGACCUCUCUCUGAUUCUGAACCCCAUGGUCUUUCCCAUGAAGAGAUCUAGUUUUUUUUGUUUUUGUUUUUGUUUUUUUUUUUCAUCUGUUAGGGGCUGUUAUGGGUUGACUUGUGUUUCCUCCAUCCUCCCUGAAAAAGAUAUUUUGUAGCCCUAACCUCUAGUACCCCAGAAUGUGACCAUAUUUGGAGAUACGGUCUUUAUAGAAAUAUUAAAGUUAAAAUAGGUUCAUUUGGUGUGAGCUCUAAUCCCAUAUGACUGGUGUCCUUAUGCACAGAGGAAAUAUGAAUACCAAGAAAGAGACACAGAGGAAUCAGAGAAAAGACAGACACCUAUGAGCCAAGGAGAAAGGCCUAGAACAGAUCCUUCCCUCACAAUCCUCAGAAGGAACCAAGCCUACCAACAACACCUUGAUCUCAGACAUUCAGCCUCCAAAACUGUGAUGCAAUCAGUGGUGCUUUGUUAUGCCAGUCCCAACAAACUAAUACAGGAGAAAUUCAGAGUUUUCAAACUGGAAGUGCAUGUCCGUGAACAUUAGAUUGUUGCAGCCAUCCAACUGUACAGUGCACAGCUCCAGAGGGCAGUAUUCCCAGGGUCACAUCAUGGUGCAUUCCUGCACUAGACGUCAUACACCACACAGCCUCACACAGUGGUCCCUGACCAAGCUGACACAGAUAGAGUCUCCUCCUGUGAGACAUCUGUUACAUAUGUUACAUGUGUUAAACCUGUUAUAAAUUCAGUUAAAUUGCCCUCAAAGUAAAGAUUAUAAAAGAAGGAUGUUAAGGGAGAUACUGUUGGAUUUGUUGCAGUGCAUUUAAAAAUAGAUAACUUCAAGGCCAUGGAAUAUGGGACUGUUUUUUAGCACAAAAUUAUAAAAGUGGAGAACUAAUAUAUGUUAACCUAUCGGGAAACUCAUCUGAGUAUGAGCUGGGCAGACGUUUUGAUUGUCUAUGGAGGGCUGGACUUCCCACUUUUCUCCCACUCAUCUGACAGGAUCAGUUUUUCAGGUGAUGAAUUAGGAACAAGGUGAGAAGGAGGUGGCUCUAGACACCCUGGAUAUAGCACUGUUUUCUGUUAAUGAGAUUCAGAUGGCCUGAUAAUUAAAGCUGUCUCCAAAACAGAAUGGCUUUCCUCAUCUAGCAUCCUUGGCACAGGGUAAUUCAACUGAAGACUGGGUUCAUUUAUCCAUUCAACUCCCUAAUAAAUACUUAUGGAGUAUUAGGCAAUGUCCUGGAUAUUGGAGGAAUACAAAGAAUAGUGCCAGUCAUAUCAAUCUUGCUCUCAAAGAGUUUAGGUUCUAAGGAGAAAUAAGGUAGAUGCGUAGAAAAUUCCAAUAUAGAAUAUAAAACUAUGUGUCACAGAAAAAGU
rnacentral:lncRNA from 10 species